GUAGGGGGGGGGGGCAAAACAAAAUUUUACGCCCCCCACCCAUUACAGGUCUAGGUAGGGCACUGCCCCCCAUGCCCCCCCCCUGUAUACGCCCUUGGUAACCCACCAUUAAAGAGCAGCGUGUCCGAUUCACAACGGUUCCCUUUCAAAUCUAAAUUGGGGUAACAAUGAGAAAGAUAUUGUCAUUUUCUAUCUAAAACAUGCUAAAUUCCGUGUAGUUCCUUCUAUUGCCUCUGAGUCAUAAAUGCGCAAAUCCCUUUUAUUAUAGAGAAGCCACACUAGAAAUUAAACCAUUGUGAAUUGGAGAUGUCACUCUAUAUUUGAAACCACGACUACUGCAGACUUACAGUCCCUUUAAAAUCCCCGAGAAGGUUUAAUCUCUGUCCCUGAUUAGGUUCAACCCUAUUGGUGGCAGUCUAGACUCUACCCAGAGCAAACCAGAGGAGUUCAGUAUCCAGAACCAGUCAGGGGGGCGCAGUACCCCCCAGAACCAGUCAGGGGGGCCCAAUACCCCCCGGAACAAGCAAGGGGGCCACAGUACCCCCCAGAACAGACCAGAGGGAAUCAGUAUCCAGAAGGAACAAGAUAUUCUGAUUAUUCUAGAAGAUAUCCUGAACCUCUUCCUGGAAAAGGUCUGUUAGGUUUAUCCCCUGGAUAUAUGGAUGCGAGACUACCCUACAAUUUCAAUGAAUUUUCCAGUCUUCAGUUCACCGCUCGGGCCGGACUACCUGGGGGUAGGGGUGGAGCUCCUUCUAGUUCCCCUAGACCAGGGAGAGGAGGGGCCACCACCACCACCCUACCUAAACAACAAACAACACCAAAGGCAAAGACAAAGAAAAAUUUUCUGCGCCAACAUGUUUUCAAAUCUUCAUCAUGAGCAGUAUCAUCAUCAUUGUACAUAGUAAAAAAAAUAGUAGAUAAAUAACAUCAUGAAACUUAAUUAAGAGGUUGUAUGUAAGGUGUACACUAUGUGUGCCAAAAAAAAAUAUCCUGCACAAACUUGCAACAAAAAACCGUCUUUGUGCUUCUUGCUGUUUUUGUUUUUUGAAAAUUCUAGAAUCUGAAGUUUGAUGGGCGACCCGUUUGCUCAAAAAAUAAAUUAUAAAUAUCAAGAAUGCGUUCACUAAAUUUUAAAUAGGUUUUAUUUUAUUUAUUUUAAAUCAGAUUUGCACAACUUGAAUCUUGAAUUUCGUGUUUUCAACAUGUCCUUAAAGCAUGAAAGUAAAUUAUUUAAAAACCAUGACCCCUUGCCAUCAUUAUAUUAGUGCUUACUAUUCCUACUAGUCAUUUUAUAAGUCAUUAUACAUAAUCUGUUCAAACACGUCAGAUUAUUUGAUUUGUAUAUAUGUUAUAUUAUAAAAUAAAUUGUAUCCAAACCUGCUUAA